UACGAAGGGGGCUAGCGUUGCUCGGAAUGACUGGGCGUAAAGGGCGCGUAGGCGGCUUGCACCGUCAGAUGUGAAAUUCCUGGGCUUAACCUGGGGGCUGCAUUUGAUACGUGUGGGCUUGAGUGCGGAAGAGGGUCGUGGAAUUCCCAGUGUAGAGGUGAAAUUCGUAGAUAUUCGCAAGAACACCAGUGGCGAAGGCGGCUCACUGGCCCGAUACUGACGCUGAGGUGCGAAAGCGUGGGGAGCAAACAGGG
rnacentral:rRNA from 1 species